CAACAGGGAUUGCCUCAGUAACGGCGAGUGAAGCGGCAACAGCUCAAAUUUGAAAUCUGGCCCUAGGCCCGAGUUGUAAUUUGCAGAGGAUGCUUUUGGUGCGGUGCCUUCCAAGUUCCCUAGAACGGGACGCCAGAGAGGGUGAGAGCCCCGUACAGUUGGACACCAAGCCUUUGUAAAGCUCCUUCGACGAGUCGAGUAGUUUGGGAAUGCUGCUCAAAAUGGGAGGUAUAUUUCUUCUAAAGCUAAAUACCGGCCAGAGACCGAUAGCGCACAAGUAGAGUGAUCGAAAGAUGAAAAGCACUUUGAAAAGAGGGUUAAACAGCACGUGAAAUUGUUAAAAGGGAAGCGCUUGUGACCAGACUUGCGUCCGGUGAAUCACCCAGCUCUCGCGGCUGGGGCACUUCGCCGGCUCAGGCCAGCAUCAGCUCGCUGUCGGGGACAAAAGCUUCAGGAACGUAGCUCUCUUCGGGGAGUGUUAUAGCCUGUUGCACAAUACCCUUCGGCGGGCUGAGGUACGCGCUCCGCAAGGAUGCUGGCAUAAUGGUCAUCAGCGACCCGUCUUGAAACACGGACCAAGGAGUCAACCUUAUGUGCGAGUGUUCGGGUGUCAAACCCCUACGCGUAAUGAAAGUGAACGCAGGUGAGAGCUUCGGCGCAUCAUCGACCGAUCCUGAUGUUCUCGGAUGGAUUUGAGUAAGAGCAUAUAGGGUUGGACCCGAAAGAAGGUGAACUAUGCGUGUAUAGGGUGAAGCCAGAGGAAACUCUGGUGGAGGCUCGCAGCGGUUCUGACGUGCAAAUCGAUCGUCAAAUAUGCGCAUGGGGGCGAAAGACUAAUCGAACCUUCUAGUAGCUGGUUUCCGCCGAGCCUCCCUCCCCGAAAGAUUAAA
rnacentral:rRNA from 1 species